rnacentral:tRNA from 1 species
GCGUCCUUAGCUCAGCUGGAUAGAGUACCUGGCUACGAAGCAGGCGGUCGGAGGUUCGAAUCCUCCAGGACGCG